UGAAAGAAAUGGCGCUAAGCUCCACUUCUAGAUUUGGGAAACGAGCGAAAUUAAAGGAAACCGCUGCCUGCAGCCGACGCGACAUCUGGACACUGAGUGGCGCUGGCGCCGCCGCAGCGGCGGGCUGGGCGCCCCACCAGGGGCUGGCAAGUCUGAAAUCUGCAAGACAGAUAGUUGAGGCUGGAGACCCAGGGAGGAGCUGAUGCUGCAGUUUUGAGUCAAGCAGCCUGGAGAAGGAAUUGCUUCUUUGGAAAAACUGUCUUUUCACUUAAGGCCUUGGAUCCUUGGUGGGGGAGAACCUGCUUUACACCUGGGCGCCACACCUCAAGGAAGAGAGACACAGUCACUCUUCUAGACCCUUAAGAUACAUCAGUGAUGGUGGGCGGAGCAAGAUGGCGGAGGAGUAGGAGACCUGGAUUUCGUCUGGUCUCAGGAAUUCAGCUGGAUAGGGAUCAAGCCAUUCUGAACACCUACAAACUCAACAGGAGAUCGAAGAAAAGAAUAGCAACAACCCUCUCAUCAGAAAAGCGACCACUUUCUGGAAGGCAAUUUAUAGCACUGAUCUAUCAGAACCUCUCAUGGACUUAGUCAAUGUGAAGUUGAUUUUUCCUGCAGGGAGAAGCUGGAGCUGUCCUGUGAGAAGCUGAGGCAAGGAGAAGCUGGAGGUAGAACUGGGGAGGGCUUGAAUGAGUUGGCCCGUGAAAUUUAGAUCCUUGUUUUCUAAAACACUCUUUCCCUGAGGUUUGAGGGACUGGAAGAAAGCUCUACGUGUGGGUAGAAUGUCCUAGGGUAGCUGUUCACAAAGAAAUUGAUUGCGGCAAACUCCUACUUGUUAGAAUUUCCUAAUUCUCUGAAAAUAUUCUUUAUACUCAACCUUCUAAAAAUUCUUAAUGGCACAUUGAAGAGCAGAGGUUGACAAAGUUUUUCUCUAAAGGGCCUGAUAGGAAAUUGUUUAGCUUCUGUGAGCCCAUAUGGUUUCUUUCACGGGGCUCUUCAGCUCUGCUGUCCAUAGCACCAAAGCUGCCACAGAUAAUACAGAAAUGAAUGAGAAUGUCUGAACGCCGAUACAACUUUAUUUGCAAAGACAGUCAGCGGGACAGAUAGGACACAAGGGUCCUAGUUUGCUGACCCCUGGUACAUGGAAAAAAUUCAUUUGGAGCUUGAUGAUGGCUCUUUCACUCUAGCUGGGUAUUUUGGGAGAAGAUACUUAUUUUAGAUUUAUAUAGCUUCAUUAUCUGUAAAAUGGGGAUAAAAAACCUACUUCAUGAGGUUGUUAUGAAGAUGAAGUUAAGUAGCUAACUAUAGCAAACUGGCCUGCUUUUUAAAAAAUUAGAUUUGUUUUUUAUUGUAGAGCACACAUAUCACGGCAAAGUGCUGCACAUAUAACUGCAAAUCAUUUUUGGGAAAAAAGCUGUAAAAAAAACCAAAACCAAAACAAACACCGCAACUGCUUUGGUUAUGUAGUCCCGUCCUGAAUCCAUGCUGGUAAAGGAAUUCUGGCCCCUGAAAGGGGCCUCUUAUGGUGGCUGCCCCAGAUUUCUGCAGCCUCAGACCUGGGCCUCUGUAAGACAAGGGCCCCUGGGCUGGUGGCAGCCUGGGGACUGGGAGGGCCUCUGCCCUCUGCAGGCUGGGGGUCUUGGCCCUGACUGGCUGGCAAGGAGACAUUCCUAAUGAAUCUAGAUCAUCAAAACCUUGCAGCCUUAUACGAUCUGAGUAGGUGGCAACUGCCAGAGACUUCAUUGUUUGUUCCUUUUGUUAUCUCUUAAAAGCCCCUUCCCCAGCUCCCAUGCCCCUGAGGCAGAGAAGGCCCCAACCCAGUCUGCAGUCCUGAGCUCUGGCCUUGGAUUCAUGCUCUAGGCAGACAGAGGGGGUGGGUGGGUGCCUUCCUAUGGGGAUGAUUGGAGAGAAGGCCCAAGCUGGCCAAUGUAGGAGAAAGGAAAGGGUAAGGAAAAAGCCAGGAGACCUGUAAUUAUUAUUAUCAUCAUUCUAGCAUUAUUACUUUAAUUUCUUUUAGGGUUUUUUUGUUGUUGUUGGUGGUGGUUAUUUAGUCUAGCUUAUGUAUUUACAGUAAACCAAUAAGUGCUGUGGAGGGCAGCUGAAACUGGGUUUUGCUGGUUCACCAUUGAAGAUUCUUCUGCUGGAAUUAGAAAAUUGUUUUAGAGAGGGUUGGUGCUUAUUUCAUACUAAUUGAGCUAAUACCAUUCUCUCUUAGGCUUAGGUUUUGUACUUCAAGCCCUUUUUAAAAGAAUUGUGCAGACAUGGGCGCAUCUGUUUGCUUUACUUCUUUAUUUUCCUUGUUGGGUAAUCACGCCUAUGUUGAUUGGCAUCAAACACAGAUCUCACCUAUCCCCAUGGCAGUAAGCUUCCACUGACUUGAAUUGAGACCAGCCCUGGUGGCCCUGUGAGUGGGAGAGUCUGGGUGUGUCUAGCUUGGGCUGUGGCACCAGGAGAGGGUGGAUACACCUGUUCUACUUGAGUAAAUUGGCACCAAUAUAGUGGUGCUUCUCUGUGUAUUUGCCUUGGUAAAAGGUCACUGGCUGAUUUGAGCUGUUAGGUUGUGCCCCACAUCCUCUGCGUAUGACACUGACUUUCUUUUGGUGGCAAUUCUGCCUUAUUUCUAGAGGUGCGUUUGACUUACAGAAGGAAGACUCUGGCUUUUUGUAUUUCUAAAUUUCCCUAGAAGUAGACAAGGCUAUCACAUCUGAGGGUCUUGAGUCAUUGUAGAGAGCUUACCUAAAGAGAAUUUUUCACCGAGGGAGAAAAUUAUACAAUCACAAUAAAGCAGAAGCCACAGGGCCUGGGUUGUUGACUUACUAUAAAUGUAAGGGCUACAGUUAACAGGAAACUUUCAGUUUCUGCUAUUGGAAGGGGUGGUCAGUCCCUUUCUUUUAUUAAGCCCCCUUUCCCUCUUCUCCUUUUUUCUUUUUUUCUUUUUUUCCUUGUAAUGAAAAGUAAAGACAAAUAACAACAGAUCUGCCUUGGGCAGCUGGUAUGGGGAUAGGAUAUCAACUUAAUAAUAGAAGUUGGGUCAAAAUGUACUUUUAUCUCUUUGCACUGAAAUUAGAGUGUGCAUGGGCUAAUUGGAUUGAGGUCUUUAAACAUGUGUUAGCUUGCAAAAGUAGCUACAGAGAAAAGGCCCAAAACAACCUAAUAAUAUUUAGGGAAAAUAUUAAAAAUCUUCACACCCUGCACUUCAAGAUAAAAUGUGUUUUUUGUAGGUGAAAUAACAAUCCAAACACCCCCAAAAUUUUAAAUUAAAAAUCCACUUUAAAUCAUAAUUCUGGAGGUAUGACAUAAUAGUGAUAAAGAGUGCAUCAUAUCUCAUACUUUAUUAACAUAUUUGUGCCAUUUUCUGCUUUUACUUAACUUUUAGAAGAAGUCUUUAAAUUGUAUCCAAUACCAAGGCAAGUUUAUAGCCUAAAUUCUUUCCUCCUAGCUGUUUUCUUUCACUUCUAUAUGUAUGGAAAUGUUUCUCUCCUAGAGCUACAUCAUUCUCUUAAAAUUGCUAUAUGAGAGAGUCUAUGGUUUAUUUAUACUUCUCUAUUAAAUAUUAUUUAGCUGGUUAAAUUAGUUUACUUAGGAAGGUUUGGGGUUGCAUGCUCAUGACAAAGUUAGGAGUAAUACGUUGAUUUAAUGGAGGGUGUUUUCUUCUGUAACUCCUCUGCCUUCUUGCAUACUUUUGGGAAUGACCUAAUGAAACAAGCCCAAAAUGCCAUUGAAAAGGUAUUUUAGGUGCUUAUACCUCCCUUUCCAGGUCUAUUUCCAUGGCUUUAGCUGCAUCAGAGACCCAGCAGUAUAGGGUCAAUUCGACAUUCAGCAGAAACUACUGUUAUGGCUGGAUUCUGGUCAGACAAGUUGCCAGGAACCCAACUGUGGGAUGGGAUCAUCCACACUCUCGCAUCAACAUACCCAUUUGACCUUAGCUCCUUUUUCUCUCUCCCUCUCCCUUGAUUAAUCUCAUAUAAUUAUGUGUGUACGUGUCUGAGGGCAGGGACCAUGCCUUAUUCAUCUUUGUAUUAUUCAAGGGCCUGGCCCACAGUGGUUGCUUAAGAAAUGGGUGUUAGAGAAAUAUUUACAGGUAUGCUGGAAAUUCUCAUUCAGAUUCCGGUAUCCCCGACAACUGAUUUCCAGCUUUCUGGAUAGGAUAAAACAGAAUCUUUGGGCUUUAGGUACAUACUAUCUUUUGAGAACUGCCCUGUGAGUUCAGAAUCCCCCGCGAUUGUCCAGUAUUAACCUCACUUCUGUCAGUAGCCAUGUCUCAAUGCUAAGUGACUCUUAGCCUGGCAUGUUUUGGCAAGAAAGAACUCUCUACCUGGUUUGCCUAAUCUACACUGGCUUCUAGUUUCAACAAGAAUUAUUUACAUGCAUUUAAUUUUAGCUCUUGGGCUAUAACAUGUCAUUGUUCUUUUUACGUACCUCCUCCCCUCGCUUUUGGAAUCAGGACAGGAAUCUUCAAUUCUUGUUGUUCCUGUUUGGUGUGCUUGUAGAUGGAGUUUAGCUUUGUCCUUCAGCUCUCAUGGCACUCCAAGAUAUUUUUGAGUCAUGUUUCCUGUAUAAGAAAAUAUAGACUAUGUCAUCACAAAAGGGAAAUGGAGAUUGGGGGGCAUUAUUUAAAUCAUUCAGGGAUCUCAUAUCCUGGCUUGAAGGAAAAUUAAAGCAAUGCAUUUGGAUUAAUUUAUCUCCUUGGAUUGUUCUUCUCUAGUCAACUGACAGGAUAAUGCAUUCAGAUUUUAUUCAAUUUUAUCUGUCACUGUCACGGUGAAUCUAGAAGAAAAAAAAUGUAGUUGAGACUUAGUUUUUAUAAAAAGUCAUUGUUAGUAGAAUUACCUUUAUUUUUUCCCGUAUUUAGAAGAGAAUGAACAUCCUAGGAAAAUAAUAAUGAGCUUUGGGCGAAACAAUGUUUUGCUCAGUACACCAUGAAAUGGAAAGUCCUCAAGCUUGCAGAAGUGCUCUGAAAAGUCUCUUGGACAACUCUGUAUAGUACUUACACAAUCAUAUUUCUUAAUGACUUUCUAUAAACAGUUUCUUUUGACAAGAAGCAUACAGUCAUAAAAAUAGAUAACUUUGGUAGAAAAGACAUUAAUGGUUUCUUACUUCUAGACUAUGACAGACAUAAAGUGACAGAUUUCUUUAGUAGUUUUCCUGUCAAUUGUGGAGGACACAGGAAAUGCAACACAGGGUAGGAGGUAUCAGUUCGCCACCUAGAGGACAUAUGUGGAAUUCCACAUUUCUCCAAACAGCUUCAGUGGGAUUCAUUCAUUCAUUUAUUCAUUCAUUCACUCACUCAUUCAUUCAUUCAGUUAUUUAUUUAUUUAAAAAUAGUUAAGUACUUAUUAGGCUUUGUUGUACCAGUGCAGAUUUGAUAAUCUAACGAGGAGCUAUGAGCUCAAAAAAGCAUUAAGUGUCUCUUAUUUUGAUUGCACAGCUGCCUCUUUAUUUAUUUAUUUGAAGAUUUAUUUAUCUGUUUUAGAGAGAGCAGAGUGGGAGCAGGGAGGAGAAGGAGAGGGAGAGAGAAUCUUAAGCAGACUCCCCACUGAGUGUGGAAAUCUGACUGAAAAGGCAUCAUCAUAACCAGAGCCGAAAUCAAGAGUCAGAUGCUUAACUGACUGAGCCACCCAGGUGCCCCACGGCUGCCUCUCUUUAAAAUCUUCUAUUUUUAGGGGGCCUGGAUGGCUCAGUCGUUAAGUGUCUGCCUUUGGCUCAAUGUCCCAGGGUCCUGGGAUCGAGCCCCGCAUAGCAUCGGGCUCCCUGCUCGGCGGGAAGCCUGCUUCUCCCUCUGCCACUCCCCCUGCUUGUGUUCCUGCUCUUGCUAUCUCUGUCUCUGUCAAAUAAAUAAAUAAGAUCUUUUAUUUUUAAAAGACUGUAGCUCAAAUAUCUGGAGAAUUCUAAAUAUCCAUAUUUGCGAUGUCUAUUACUUUUAGCUCUUGGGCUAUAAUAAAGCCUUAUUGCUUUUUAUUUGUUCCAACCCUUUGCAGUGUAACUAUUAGGGUCUUCUCUAUACAAAUUGGGAAAUGGAGUCUCAGAGAAAUUAAAUAACAAGUUUCAGGUGUCACAGCUACUUCAUAAUAGUGCCACUGUCUGAACCCAUGCCAGUCUAAUACCAGAGCCAUCACCCUGCUCAGUUCUGGUCUAGUCCAGAUGCUCACAAACAGCCAGACCGCAGCUGGGGGUGUGGACAGUGCUUACAGGUUGAAAGGAGAUCAUGGCCAGUAGCAAGUUCAUAAAGCAGGCUUGGGAGGAGCUUGAUGAAGCCAACCAACUGGGCAGCGUCUACUAAAGAUGGUAGGAUUGUUCAUGGGUAUGAAUUCCUUGUACCCAGAGGAAUGAACUCCACAAUUUCCCUGAGUUAGUCCAGUCCUGGCAAGAGUAGACAGAGGGCUGGGGGCAGUUGGUGUGCGUGAGUGCCUCCUCCUAACAUCAUCAACCACCACAUCUCAUGGGAUACAGAGACGUACAAUUUAUAAAUUAAUGCAACCUAAAACUCCUGCGGUCUGAUUCAUUUUAAUUGUCAUUUCUGUCAAGCACACAGGGCCAUGAGCAUACUCCUUAGGUAGAGGAGGAAACUGAACUACUCAAGAGGUUCCCUGAAUUCCAAGACCACCAGGUGUGAUCCUGAAGAUUUGUCACUACGGUGGACAAAAGUGUAAUGCACUGUGGAAAUUGUCAAGCUGUUGGGUUCCUACUGUAAACCAGUUUUUAAAGUGAAGAAAACUCUGAUCAACCUCGAGUUUGUUUAUGGAGAGGACUUUGCCCAGCUGCACCCAGAAAGCUUGAGAAUGCCAGACAAGCAUAACCCUGAGACAAUUUUUCUUUGCCAGGAAAAUUUGCUGAAAAAGGAACAUUAAAAUCUGUUUAAUUCUACUGCAUGGACAUGUGAUAAUGUGCAUGGUGACCUUCUAUUGUAAACUUGAAAGACUUAACCUUUCUGCAUCUAUUACUGAGGGACAAAGGAGAACAUUUUCUUAGAGCUUUGAACUACUUCAGUGGAAAUCUGACUGAAAAAGGCAACACCAAGGACUGUAUCUUACUUAUUUUCUAUCUUUCUCUGCAUCUAACAAUUUUUUCGAGGAUUAAUAAAGGGUGCUGCUUUUUAUUUAGAUUCCAGAUAUUAUUAUUCAAUAGAUUUUAAUUAUUUUAAAGACAUUUGGAAGAGUUUACAUUAAAACAUUGAAUCAAUUUGACUUACAUU